rnacentral:tRNA from 1 species
CUUUAGUUAGUAUAAAUGUACAUUUACCUUCCAAGUAAAAAGUCUACAACGUAGCCUAAAGA